rnacentral:rRNA from 1 species
UACGUAGGUCCCGAGCGUUGUCCGGAUUUAUUGGGCGUAAAGCGAGCGCAGGUGGUUUAUUAAGUCUGGUGUAAAAGGCAGUGGCUCAGCCAUUGUAUGCAUUGGAAACUGGUAGACUUAAGUGCAGGAGAGGAGAGUGGAAUUCCAUGUGUAGCGGUGAAAUGCGUAGAUAUAUGGAGGAACACCGGUGGCGAAAGCGGCUCUCUGGCCUGUAACUGACACUGAGGCUCGAAAGCGUGGGGAGCAAACAGG